GUCCUAGCCGUAAACGAUGAGCACUGGACUGAAGGGUCCUCCAUAGCCUUUCGGUCGAAGCGAAAGUGUUAAGUGCUCCGCCUGGGGAGUAUGGUCGCAAGGCUGAAACUCAAAGAAAUUGACGGGGGCUCACACAAGCGGUGGAGGAUGUGGCUUAAUUCGAGGCUACGCGAAGAACCUUAUCCUAGUCUUGACAUGCACGGAUUAACUCCUGGAAACAGGAGCCAGGCCUUCGGGUACAACGUGCACAGGUGCUGCAUGGCUGUCGU
rnacentral:rRNA from 1 species